AUCAUGGCUCAGGAUGAACGCUAGCGACAGGCUUAACACAUNCAAGGUCGAGGGGCAGCGGGGAAGUAGCAAUACUUCCGCCGGCGACCGGCGCACGGGUGAGUAACACGUAUGGAACCUGCCCGUAGCAGGGGGAUAAGCGGAAGAAAUUCCGUCUAAUACCGCGUAAUAACUCCGAGAGGCAUCUCAUGGGGUUUAAAGGGUAACACCGGCUACGGAUGGCCAUGCGGCGCAUUAGCUAGUUGGCGGGGUAACGGCCCACCAAGGCGACGAUGCGUAGGGGUUCUGAGAGGAAGGUCCCCCACACUGGUACUGAGACACGGACCAGACUCCUACGGGAGGCAGCAGUGAGGAAUAUUGGUCAAUGGGCGCGAGCCUGAACCAGCCAAGUCGCGUGAGGGAAGACGGUCCUAUGGAUUGUAAACCUCUUUUGUCGGGGAGCAAAAGACGCCACGUGUGGCGUUCCGAGAGUACCCGAAGAAAAAGCAUCGGCUNAACUCCGUGCCAGCAGCCCGCGGUAAUACGGAGGAUGCGAGCGNUUAUCCGGANUUUAUUGGGUUUAAAGGGUGCGCAGGCGGAAGAUCAAGUCAGCGGUAAAAUUGAGAGGCUCAACCUUCUUUCGAGCCCGUUGAAAACUGGUUUUCUUGAGUGAGCGAGAAGUAUGCGGAAUGCGUGGUGUAGCGGUGAAAUGCAUAGAUAUCACGCAGAACUCCGAUUGCGAAGGCAGCAUACCGGCGCUCAACUGACGCUCAUGCACGAAAGUGUGGGUAUCGAACAGGAUUAGAUACCCUGGUAGUCCACACAGUAAACGAUGAAUACUAAUUGUUCGGGGAGAAUGAUCCCUGAGUGAUACAGCGAAAGCGUUAAGUAUUCCACCUGGGGAGUACGCCGGCAACGGUGAAAACUCCAAGGAAUUGACGGGGGCCCGCACAAGCGGAGGAACAUGUGGUUUAAUUCGAUGAUACGCGAGGAACCUUACCCGGGCUCAAACGACACAGGAAUACUUUUGAAAGGAGGUAGCUCUACGGAGCCUGUGUCGAGGUGCUGCAUGGUUGUCGUCAGCUCGUGCCGUGAGGUGUCGGCUUAAGUGCCAUAACGAGCGCAACCCCCAUCGCCAGUUACCAGCAAGUCAAGUUGGGGACUCUGGCGAGACUGCCGGCGCAAGCUGUGAGGAAGGCGGGGAUGACGUCAAAUCAGCACGGCCCUUACGUCCGGGGCGACACACGUGUUACAAUGGCAGGUACAGAGAGAAGCAAUGCGGCGACGCAAAGCGGAACUUGAAAGCCUGUCUCGGUUCGGAUUGGAGUCUGCAACUCGACUCCAUGAAGCUGGAUUCGCUAGUAAUCGCGCAUCAGCCAUGGCGCGGUGAAUACGUUCCCGGGCCUUGUACACACCGCCCGUCAAGCCAUGGAAGCCGGGAGUGCCUGAAGUGUGCAACCGCAAGGANCUNACCNAAGGUAAAACUGGUGACUGGGGCUAAGUCGUAACAAGGUA
rnacentral:rRNA from 1 species